AUUGAACGCUGGCGGCAUGCCUUACACAUGCAAGUCGAACGGUAACAGGUCUUCGGAUGCUGACGAGUGGCGAACGGGUGAGUAAUACAUCGGAACGUGCCUAGUAGUGGGGGAUAACUACUCUAAAGAGUGGCUAAUACCGCAUGAGAUCUACGGAUGAAAGCAGGGGAUCGCAAGACCUUGUGCUACUAGAGCGGACGAUGGCAGAUUAGGUAGUUGGUGGGAUAAAGGCUUACCAAGCCGACGAUCUGUAGCUGGUCUGAGAGGACGAUCAGCCACACUGGGACUGAGACACGGCCCAGACUCCUACGGGAGGCAGCAGUGGGGAAUUUUGGACAAUGGGCGCAAGCCUGAUCCAGCAAGGCCGCGUGCAGGAUGAAGGCCUUCGGGUUGUAAACUGCUUUUGUACGGAACGAAAAGCCCUGGGUUAAUACCCUGGGGUCAUGACGGUACCGUAAGAAUAAGCACCGGCUAACUACGUGCCAGCCGCCGCAGUAACAC
rnacentral:rRNA from 1 species